GAAAUAGCUUUAGGGCUAGCCUCAUACAAGUCUUGCGGAGGUAGAGCACUGAAUUUCCUAGGGGGCGUCAAAGCUUACCGAAGAAUAUCAAACUCCGAAUGCCGUGUAGAUGGUGUAUGGGAGUCAGACUGUACGAGAUAAGUUGGACAGUCAAAAGGGAAAGAGCCCAGACCGCCGGCUAAGGUCCCAAAGUGGGUGUUAAGUGGAAAAGGAUGUGGGAUCUCUAAGACAACCAGGAUGUUGGCUCAGAAGCAGCCAUUCAUUAAAAGAGUGCGUAACAGCUCACUGGUCGAGAGGUCCUGCGCCGAAAAUGUCCGGGGCUGAAACACCACACCGAAGCCGCGGAACCCGUAAGGGUUGGUAGAGGAGCAUUCUUAGGGGAGCGAAGCAUUACCGGAAGGGGAUGUGGACCGCUAAGAAGAGAGAAUGCCGGAAUGAGUAGCGAGAGCAAGGUGGGAAUCCUUGCGGCCGAAUAUCCAAGGUUUCCAGAGUAAAGCUGAUCUGCUCUGGGUAAGUCGGGGCCUAAGGAGAGGCAGAGAUGCGUAUCCGAUGGACAGCAGGUAAAAGAUUCCUGCACCCCUUGUUAUCAGAACUGCGGGGACACGGGAAGGGAAGCAGAGCCGGGAAUGGAAAGCCCGGUGCAAGCGAAGUAGUCGCAGGGUUGGAAAAUCCGCCCUGCAUGAGACGAAGGCGUGAUGCGGAGCGAAAUGAAGUAGUGAAGCUGCGGCCCCUUCCUGUCGAGAAAAGCCGCUAUCGUGUAGCAAGGGCCCGUACCGUAAACCGACACAGGUGGAUGAGGAGAGGAUCCUAAGGCCGGCGGGAGAAGUGUUGUUAAGGAACUCGGCAAAAUGACUCCGUAACUUCGGGAGAAGGAGUGCUGCGCAAGCAGCCGCAGAGAAAUGGCCCAAGCAACUGUUUAGCAAAAACACAGGUCUAUGCGAAACCGAAAGGUGAGGUAUAUGGGCUGACGCCUGCCCGGUGCUGGAAGGUUAAGGGGAGAGGUUAGCGCAAGCGAAGCUUUGAACUUAAGCCCCAGUAAACGGCGGCCGUAACUAUAACGGUCCUAAGGUAGCGAAAUUCCUUGUCGGGUAAGUUCCGACCCGCACGAAAGGCGUAAUGAUUUGGGCACUGUCUCAACAACACACCCGGUGAAAUUGAAAUACCAGUGAAGAUGCUGGUUACCCGCGCCAGGACGGAAAGACCCCAUGGAGCUUUACUCCAGCCUGAUACUGGGAUUCGGUAUUGCAUGUACAGGAUAGGUGGGAGGCUAAGAACUUAUGGCGCCAGCCGUAAGGGAGCCGGUGUUGGGAUACCACCCCUGCAGUACUGGGUUUCUAACCUGCGCCCGUGACCCGGGCGGGGGACAAUGUCAGGCGGGGAGUUUGACUGGGGCGGUCGCCUCCGAAAGGGUAUCGGAGGCGCUCAAAGGUCUCCUCAGGAUGGUUGGAAACCAUCCAGAGAGUGCAAAGGCAGAAGGAGGCUUGACUGCGACACCGACGGGUGGAGCAGGUACGAAAGUAGGACUUAGUGAUCC
rnacentral:rRNA from 1 species